GGGCAUAUAGCUCAGUGGUAGAGUGUGUGCACAAGGUCCUGGGUUCAAUCCCCAGUGCCUCCA
rnacentral:tRNA from 1 species